rnacentral:rRNA from 1 species
CAAUAGCGUAUAUUAUUGAUGUUGCAGUUGAAACGUUCGUAGCCGAACUUUAUCUGCUCAAACACCUCGUCAUGUAAAUGUCGUGAUGUUCUUGGCAGAAAUAGUGUAAAAGUUAUUAUGUGAUGUUUCAUUGUGUAAUAACUUUUUGCACUUUACUUUGAGUGAAUCGGCGUGUUCCACGCAGGCAAGUGCCUUAAACGAUUUACCAUAGUAUAAUCAGAAUCUGAAAAUAUUUUCUUGUUUGUUCAAAAAUAUUUUCAAUACUGAAAGGAACGGUUGAGGCCAUUCGUACUCACGCGCUAGAGGUGAAAUUCUUUGAUUGCGUGAAGACGAACCAUUGCGAAAGCAUCUGGCAAGGACGUUUCCUUUGA